CAGUAGCCGCGGUAAGACAGAGGAUGCAAGCGUUAUCCGGAAUGAUUGGGUGUAAAGCGUCUGUAGGUGGCUUUUCAAGUCCGCCGUCAAAUCCCAAGGCUCAACCCUGGACAGGCGGUGGAAACUACCAAGCUGGAGUACAGUAGGGGCAGAGGGAAUUUCCGGUGGAGUGGUGAAAUGCGUUGAGAUCGGAAAGAACACCAACGGCGAAAGCACUCUGCUAGGCCGACAUUGACACUGAGAGAUGACAGCUAGGGGAGCAAAUGGGAUUAGAUACCCCCGUAGUCCCUGUCUCUUAUAC
rnacentral:rRNA from 1 species